UACAAUCGAAAGGAUGAAGAAACACGACGAAAUCAAAACCAUCGAACCUUUGAUCGUUUUCCAGAAACAAUGAUCUGGCCUCGUCGUCUUCUUCUUCCUGAGAUGUUAUCGAGAUCUUUAGAUUCAUUGGAUUUGCUUUCUGAUAUUUAUUGGAUUUAUUGGAUUUGAGAGCAUUGUUUGAUGGAUUUUGGAAUCUUUGGCAACACUAGCGAUGCAAAUCUUCAACCCAAGAUUUUUGAUGAUUGAGUCUGACUGUUUGUUCUGUUUUUUUUUGGGAUAUGUAGGUGAGAAAUAAGCUAGAGACGUCACGAUUGUAUAAACAAGCCUAGAUGACUAAUGGGAGGUUGCUUACAAACUUUAGCAACUGCUUCUGUCUAAAUCUCUCUGUUUCUCAUGUGAAUUUACAAUGGUGGAACUACCUGAGACAGUUAAGGAGCUUAUAAACCCAAGCAUAGAGAUAAAGAUGGUGGAGAACACACCAGACGAUC